rnacentral:rRNA from 1 species
UACGAAGGGUGCAAGCGUUAAUCGGAAUUACUGGGCGUAAAGGGUGCGUAGGCGGUUCGUUAAGUCUGUCGUGAAAUCCCCGGGCUCAACCUGGGAAUGGCGAUGGAUACUGGCGAGCUAGAGUGUGUCAGAGGAUGGUGGAAUUCCCGGUGUAGCGGUGAAAUGCGUGGAGAUCGGGAGGAACAUCAGUGGCGAAGGCGGCCAUCUGGGACAACACUGACGCUGAAGAACGAAAGCGUGGGGAGCAAACAGG